UGGCGGACGGGUGAGUAAUGUCUGGGAAACUGCCCGAUGGAGGGGGAUAACUACUGGAAACGGUAGUUAAUACCGCAUAACGUCGCAAGACCAAAGAGGGGGACCUUAGGGCCUCUUGCCAUCGGAUGUGCCCAGAUGGGAUUAGCUAGUAGGUGGGGUAACGGCUCACCUAGGCGACGAUCCCUAGCUGGUCUGAGAGGAUGACCAGCCACACUGGAACUGAGACACGGUCCAG
rnacentral:rRNA from 1 species